GUCAGAAUUGCAGAGAACAAAUUUAUGUGUAUAGUAAUCUGUUGUUUAUUAUUUAUUCGCUUUAUCACAUAAUAGGCUAUUUGACAACAUUGAAAAUAUACUGCAAAUUGUGGUUAUCCCAUUAAAUAAUAGUCUAAAGAAACAUAAUUCUAAUUUUUUUAUCAGAAUUAUGUAUAAUUUUUGUAAAUUACACAAAAUAAAAUAUAAUAAUUUUUGAAAUUUUAUCUAUAAUGAGAACACUCUGUGAUUGGUGAUAACGCGGGUGACAUCACAGGCAGGUAAAGUUAGACUACUGACAGAUUAUUGUUUCUUUGUUGUUAUUAGUUUGUGGUUGUUAGUGUUUUAUUUGUUAACUUCUAUUUCUGGAGCAUUUUUAAGACAAUUAUUGAUCAAUAUUAGGUAGUGGCAUAAAUAUGGAAUCAAAUUUUGUGAAAACCGAUAACAGCAACUUACCCAAGGUAGAUGCACUUAUGGUUGCUUUUUAUUUUAAGAAUAACGCUGAUUAUUGUGUAGAGGAGUUGAGAAAUGUUGAAACAGCAGUGUCUGUGAUGGAAUCUUAUGGGGACGAUGCGAUCGGCUAUGUCCAACUACACUGGGAGGAAGGCGUUUGCACAGUUGAGUGUAAAAUAUGUCCAAAACAUAAAGUUAAAUACAAAUCAUACAGCGCGACAAUAGUUGUUGAAAAUGAUGGCGAAAUCAUUAGUCGUAUCAUGAUUGUGCUGCUUCAGUCGGAGGAUGCAAGCAUGCAGUUGCUUUUUUGAUGUGGCUCCAUCGUCGCACUGAAGAACCAGCAUGUACGUCCAUAGAAUGCUACUGGAAAACUGUUCAGCGGAUGUCUAAGAGGAAAGUAACUCACAGGUCAAGUACAUCCGCUCUAUAUAUUGAAUUUAUCUUGGAAGCAAAGAAAAGAAAAGUAAAUAAUUGCGAAUUGCUAAAAUAUUAGCAUGACUUCAAACAUAUGGAUGUGAUGCAGUAUUCAUUGCACAGUUUUCGAAAAGAUCUAGAUAAAGUUCUAAAUUUGAUGAAAGCUACAUUCACCGAAGCUGUGACAAGUGCCAUAGAAGUAGCUAAUAUAAGAUAAAAUAAGAGCAGAUCAUGGUAUGAGAUGCGUUAUGGCCGUAUCACAGCAUAGUAUGUUUGUAAUACACCAGACGGUUCAUUGGUAGCUACUAUAAUACAAAAAUAAUGCAAAAAUAUCAGAUACUGUUGCAAUGGAAAGAGGUAGAAAUUUGGAAGUAUCUGUUCUCGUGAUGGUAUUAUGAAGGAUGCCAUCAUUGAGAUAAAAUGUCCUACCAAAGCAAAAGCUAGGGACAAUUAUUCGAAAAA